rnacentral:misc_RNA from 1 species
AACGCAUAUUGCGCCCCUUGGUAUUCCGAGGGGCAUGCCUGUUCGAGCGUCAUGAUCAAACCUCAAGCUUUUUUUUUGCUUGGUAUUGGGCCUUCGUCUACUGUUAUACUCCUGUAGUAUAUGGAAAGUUUGACGUGCCUGAAAAUCAAUGGUGAUGCCCCAAAUGGACUCAAGCGUAGCAGGCUAACUCUCGCUUUGGAGAACUUUGGUGGUGCUCUUGACUGAAAUAAUUAAUUUGGACCUCGGAUCAGGUAGGGAUACCCGCUGAACUUAA